CAGUCGCCGCGGGAAUACGAAGGGUGCAAGCGUUAAUCGGAAUUACUGGGCGUAAAGCGUGCGUAGGCGGUGAGUUAAGUCUGCUGUGAAAUCCCUGGGCUCAACCUGGGAACUGCAGUGGAUACUGGAUCACUAGAGUGUGGUAGAGGAUAGUGGAAUUUCCGGUGUAGCAGUGAAAUGCGUAGAGAUGUGGAGGAACACCGAUGGCGAAGGCAGCCCCCUGGGCCAAUACUGGCGCUCAUGCACGAAAGCGUGGGGAGCAAACAGGAUUAGAUAACCCCGUAGUCCCUGUCUCUUAUAC
rnacentral:rRNA from 1 species